GACGAUGAGCACUGUUCUUUGGUUAAAACAUGAAACAUGAAUGAAAUGUGCUUGUGGCGGGGUCUCCGUGCUUCAUUUCCUGCUCCGGUUGUCCCAUCCCAGGUCGCUCUCUGCGGACCGGGGCCAAUCGUGGAAAACAGACCCAGGGCUCCUGACCUGCAGUCUCAGUGUGGAUCGGUCAUAUUCGAACACCCGGAUGCCUGGAUUGUUGGCCCCGUUGACCACUCCAGGAGAGAGACAGUGAAACAGACAGGCUGGCGAGAAGGGGGAGGUGGACUGGCAGCUGCCCUCCAGAGUGAGUACCUGCAUCAUCAUAGAACAUCCGAAAGCUGUCAGUGUGGUGGUGCCCGAAGAACUGCCCUGCAAUGACCCGGUAGUGCCUCUGGACCACCUUCAGACCUCAGAAGGAGACGCAGUCCCUAACCCCAUUCCCAGCAGAAAGUUUCGUCACCAGAAAGGAAGCACCAGAUGAGGGGGAGGAGGAAGCUAGAAGAUCUAAAUAAUCUUCAGAUCCAUCAUCAGCCAUCAACUCCAGACCCAUCUGACUAUUUCCCGAUCCACUUGCUGUUCCCGAGCAAGGGAAGGAGUUUCCUUCACCCUGGGAGGCCUCAGGAGUUUGUUCAUUCGGGAUUCAAAUAUUUAUGGAGCACCUUGUUGGUGCCAACUUGUAGACCUGGGAGCCGGGUACCCAACCCCAGCCCAGGGGCCUUGCAGUGUAGCAGGGUAACAGGCAUUGAGUAAUGCAACAUGCGAAGGCCAACACAAAAAGGGAAGAGCCUAUAUGCAACACAGAAAAGACAAGUAGUGACUCUACAGUAUCCUGCUAUGCUCAUGGACAGUGAC